rnacentral:Y_RNA from 1 species
CUGGCGAAUGCCUUGAGGACUACAUUUAAUCUAUUGGUCGUUGGUUCGAGUCCAACCACAGCUCAAGCUGUGUAGCUCAGUUAGGUAGAGCAGUAGCACGUCUUCAUCAACCUUGUCGCCAUUCC